CCGUAAACAAGAUGAAGCGCGGUUAUGAGAGUGGUUGCGCUAAACGAAAAAAAAAGGGCACAAAGCAAAAAUAAUGCAGCUGCACUUCUGAAACUAACUACAUUUUUCAAAUCGCCUGAGUCUGCUACAGCCUCAACCUCCGCUGUUGAGGAAUGUGUUCGUGUAGUUUGGGUUCCAUGCCUCUGCACACCACCUUUCUAUGAAGGCUUUGGAGAAGCCAGCAACAACCUCUGUGAACGAACAUCCUCCCUCUAUGGAGCUGCUGCAGGGUCGAGAUGAGCUGGUGUGUCUGGUGUACGGUUUCAGCCCGUCAGCCAUUAACAUCACCUGGCUCCUGAACAGUGUGAGCGUACAGCGUGAGGACAACACCAGCAGCUCUGCCAAAGGGCCUGAUGGGAAAUUCAGAAUUAAAAGCCACCUGAAUGUCCAGGCCGCUGAAUGGGCACCUGUAGCCACGUACACAUGCCAUGUCAGGCACGUCACUGGCACCAUCAAUCGCAGCAUCUCCAAAACAGAAUUUAUUGAAGAGACGAUAUACUUUGAUGAGAACAAGUCUGAAACUAGCACACUGGAUCAGGCUGAGGAAACCUGGAACAUGGCCUGUGCCUUCAUCAUCCUCUUUGUCAUCUCUCUCGUCUAUGGAUGUUCAAUGACUCUGGUCAAAGUGAAGACGGCAUGAUCAGCUCUUUCGGGCGUCUUUUAGACUCGCGUUUAAUCCUUACAUUAUGUCAUGCUUUAUUGCUGUAUUGUUGUACUUGUCUGAAUCUUUUUAAUCUCUAAAUUGAUAGAUGCAAGUGAGUAAAAGGAAAAUAAAGAAGGAAAAAAAUGAACUUGUUGUUUGAUCAUGGAAA